GCCCCCGUAGCUCACCAGGAUAGAGCGUACGCCUCCUAAGCGUAAGGUAGUGAGUUCGAGUCUCGCUGGGGGUGCCA
rnacentral:tRNA from 1 species